rnacentral:rRNA from 1 species
UACGUAGGGUGCAAGCGUUAAUCGGAAUUACUGGGCGUAAAGGGCGCGUAGGCGGCCUUGUAAGUCCUGUGUGAAAUCCCCCGGCUCAACUGGGGAACUGCACAGGAGACUGCUUGGCUUGAGUUCGGGAGAGGGAAGCGGAAUUCCGGGUGUAGCGGUGAAAUGCGUAGAUAUCCGGAGGAACACCGGUGGCGAAGGCGGCUUCCUGGACCGACACUGACGCUGAGGCGCGAAAGCCAGGGGAGCAAACGGG